rnacentral:rRNA from 1 species
CCUACGGGGGGCAGCAGUGGGGAAUAUUGCACAAUGGGGGAAACCCUGAUGCAGCAACGCCGCGUGAGUGAAGAAGUAUUUCGGUAUGUAAAGCUCUAUCAGCAGGGAAGAAGAAAGACGGUACCUGACUAAGAAGCCCCGGCUAACUACGUGCCAGCAGCCGCGGUAAUACGUAGGGGGCAAGCGUUAUCCGGAUUUACUGGGUGUAAAGGGAGCGUAGACGGCUGUGCAAGUCUGAAGUGAAAGCCCGUGGCUCAACCGCGGAACUGCUUUGGAAACUGUAUAGCUUGAGUACUGGAGAGGCA